UGUGUCAAUGUGUGUAUCUGUGUGUCAGGGUGUCUGUGUUUCAGGGUGUGUAUCUGUAUGUGUGUCAAGGUGUGUAUCUGUAUGUGUGUCAGGGUAUGUAUCUGUAUGUGUGUCAGGGUAUGUAUCCUUAAGUGUGUCAGUGUACUUAUAUAUGUGUCUGUAUCUGCAUGUUUGUCAGUAUAUGUAUCUGUGUGUCAAUGUGUGUCUCUGUGUAUGCAUGUCUGUGUGUUUAUCUGCAUAUGUGUCAAGGUGUGCAUCUUUGAGUCAGGGUGUGCAUUUGUGUGU